UGGGGUCUCAAUGUGGUCUCUAUGGGUUCUCAGUUGGGGUCUCCAUGGGAUCCCUUUGGGGUCUCAGUGUGGUCUCUAUGGGAUUCCUAUGGGUUCUCAGUGUGGCCCAGCUCUGUGAGGCCUUGAGUUGGCGGCUACAUUAACCCCCUCCAUCCCUUCCAUCCCACAGGUCUAAUGGCGGCUGUGACAUUGGACGAGUCUGGCGGCGGCCUCUACGCGCCUGGAGGAGCCGUCAGCCUCGUCUGCAAGGGCUCAGGGUUCACCUUCAGCAGUCAUGGCAUGGGAUGGGUGCGACAGGCACCAGGAAAGGGGCUGGAAUACAUCGCUGGUAUUAGGUAUGAUGGUGGUAGCACAUGGUACGCACCGGUGGUGCAGGGCCGUGCCACCAUCACAAGGGACAACGGGCAGAGCACAGUGAGGCUGCAGCUGAACAGCCUGAAGGACGAGGACUCGGCCAUGUAUUACUGCGCCAAGAAUGGUGGUGGUGGUUGUGGUGCUAAUUGUGCUGGC